CCUAGCUGCGUCCCUAAGCUGUCCAUGGACCCUUGGGCAAGGUGGGCUUUUGGAAAAAAGGAGUUAAGUAGUUUCCCCAUGCUGUAAGAACUGGAAGACUCCAAAAGAGAAGGGUGAAUUCCAUGCUCCAAGACUGGUGGUAAUACAGAACUUUGCAAGAAGUUAUAGUGCUUGAAUAUUCCCAAUUAAAUAAUGAGCUUUGGAAGGUAUUCAUCUCCCCAAGAGUGA